GAUGAACGCUGGCGGUAUGCUUAACACAUGCAAGUCGAACGGUCACUUCGGUGCUAGUGGCGGACGGGUGCGUAACGCGUGGGAAUCUGUCUUCAGGUCGGGGACAACAGUUAGAAAUGACUGCUAAUACCGGAUGUGCCUUUGGGUGAAAGAUUUAUUGCCUGUAGAAGAGCUCGCGUUGGAUUAGCUAGUUGGUAGGGUAAGAGACUACCUAGGCGACGAUCUAUAGCUGGUCUGAGAGGACGAUCAGCCACACUGGGACUGAGACACGGUCCAGACUCCUACGGGAGGCAGCAGUGGGGAAUAUUGGACAAUGGGCGAAAGCCUGAGCCAGCAAUGCCGCGUGAGUGAUGAAGGCCUUAGGGUUGUAAAGCUCUUUUACCCGGGAUGAUAAUGACAGUACCGGGAGAAUAAGCUCCGGCUAACUCCGUG
rnacentral:rRNA from 1 species